UGAGGAAUAUUGGUCAAUGGGCGAGAGCCNUUUACCAGCCAAGUCGCGUGAAGGACGAAGGUAUUAUGUAUUGUAAACUUCUUUUGUCAGAGAAUAAAGACAGUCUCGUGAGAUUGGUUGCAUGUAUCUGACGAAUAAGGAUCGGCUAACUCCGUGCCAGCAGCCGCGGUAAUACGGAGGAUCCGAGCGUUAUCCGGAUUUAUUGGGUUUAAAGGGUGCGUAGGCGGAUGUUUAAGUCAGUGGUGAAAGUUUGGGGCUCAACCUUAAAAUUGCCAUUGAAACUGGAUGUCUUGAGUACAGUAGAGGUAGGCGGAAUUCGUGGUGUAGCGGUGAAAUGCAUAGAUAUCACGAAGAACUCCGAUUGCGAAGGCAGCUUACUGGAGUGUAACUGACGCUGAUGCACGAGAGUGUGGGGAUCAAACAGGAUUAGAUACCCUGGUAGUCCACACUGUAAACGAUGAAUGCUANAUGUUGGCGAUAUAGUGUCAGUGUCACAGAGAAAUCGUUAAGCAUUCCACCUGGGGAGUACGCCGGCAACGGUG
rnacentral:rRNA from 1 species